GACGAACGCUGGCGGCGUGCUUAACACAUGCAAGUCGAGCGGUAAGGCCCUUCGGGGUACACGAGCGGCGAACGGGUGAGUAACACGUGGGUCAUCUGCCUCGCACUCUGGGAUAAGCCUGGGAAACUGGGUCUAAUACCGGAUAUGACCAUGGGAUGCAUGUCUUGUGGUGGAAAGAUUUAUUGGUGCGAGAUGGGCCCGCGGCCUAUCAGCUUGUUGGUGGGGUAAUGGCCUACCAAGGCGACGACGGGUAGCCGGCCUGAGAGGGCGAUCGGCCACACUGGGACUGAGACACGGCCCAGACUCCUACGGGAGGCAGCAGUGGGGAAUAUUGCACAAUGGGCGAAAGCCUGAUGCAGCGACGCCGCGUGAGGGAUGACGGCCUUCGGGUUGUAAACCUCUUUCGACAGGGACGAAGCGCAAGUGACGGUACCUGUAGAAGAAGCACCGGCCAACUACGUGCCAGCAGCCGCAGUAAAAC
rnacentral:rRNA from 1 species